rnacentral:lncRNA from 1 species
UGUAUCAGUAUCCAUGUGCUGAGAGGAUGUAGAUGGGUUGGCCCACUUGUCCUUGACGCGAAGCCGGAUCGGGUCACGCACAAUGUAAUCAGACUGAGCGUAGAGCAGCUCCUCCGGAAAAGCCUCUUGCCACUUAUGGCGAAUGUAUGCAAACAGGUAAGGCCCGAAGAUGGGAACCUUACGCAUGAUGAUGCAGUUCCAGUGCUCUGUGAACAUCACAUCAGAAAUAUCCAGCUAAGCAGACUCCUGAGACAUAGCCUCCUCACACAGC